rnacentral:rRNA from 1 species
UACAGAGGUGGCAAGCGUUGUUCGGAAUUACUGGGCGUAAAGGGCGCGUAGGCGGCCUUAUAAGUCUCGUGUGAAAGCCCUCGGCUUAACUGAGGAUCUGCACGGGAUACUGUAGGGCUCGAGUUCGGGAGAGGAAAGCGGAAUUCCGGGUGUAGCGGUGAAAUGCGUAGAUAUCCGGAGGAACACCAGUGGCGAAGGCGGCUUUCUGGACCGACACUGACGCUGAGGUGCGAAAGCGUGGGGAGCAAACAGG